rnacentral:misc_RNA from 1 species
GCAGUAUCCAGAUCUUUAGUCCUCUGUAUCAAAGUUUUAUCAAUACAUCUCCAGAGGGCCUUUGAAUUUAACAAAAUUAUAGGGUAACAAACAAACAAAUUCAUUAUCUGAUGAUGACAGGAGCUGAAAUAAAGUUGCAAGAAUUACAUCUUAACUCGGUCAAUCAAAAUUUCCUAACUUGCAAAUGUAAAUAACUAAAUGUGAUAAUACUCAAAAGGUAUGGGAAAAAAAAAAUUAAUGAAAUAUGCAACUGUAAAAAUUUUAACAUUAGAGGUGAGCCUUCAGAACAAAUUUUUAAGUUAUAUGAUGCUAUAAUAUAAAACUAAGCCCAGCACAUACCAGAGAUAUAUAUUGUAGCAGUUGUUUUAAAAAAUAAGGCAUUUACAUCACAUAAUAUGCAUAAAACUAAUAAUCUAACUAAAAUGUGAGUUUUUAAACUAAUUCAUAUCUUAGAGUUCACUUAAUUGACUUCUCUCCAGCAUGGAGUCCUCUCUUUCUUACCACAUCAGAAACUAAUAUCCAGGAAAUUGAAAAUCCUAUUGCCCAUAUCAAUCAUCAAAUUAUGAGAUGGAAAACAGCAAUUAGUUCUCCUUGAAAACAAAUAAUUUAAUAACAGUAAAUUGAAAACAAAGAUAACAAAGGUCACAGUUUUUAAAAAAAAA